rnacentral:rRNA from 1 species
AUUGAACGCUGGCGGCAGGCCUAACACAUGCAAGUCGAGUGGAUGAAGGGAGCUUGCUCCUGGAUUCAGCGGCGGACGGGUGAGUAAUGCCUAGGAAUCUGCCUGGUAGUGGGGGAUAACGUCCGGAAACGGGCGCUAAUACCGCAUACGUCCUGAGGGAGAAAGUGGGGGAUCUUCGGACCUCACGCUAUCAGAUGAGCCUAGGUCGGAUUAGCUAGUUGGUGGGGUAAAGGCCUACCAAGGCGACGAUCCGUAACUGGUCUGAGAGGAUGAUCAGUCACACUGGAACUGAGACACGGUCCAGACUCCUACGGGAGGCAGCAGUGGGGAAUAUUGGACAAUGGGCGAAAGCCUGAUCCAGCCAUGCUGCGUGUGUGAAGAAGGUCUUCGGAUUGUAAAGCACUUUAAGUUGGGAGGAAGGGCAGUAAGUUAAUACCUUGCUGUUUUGACGUUACCAACAGAAUAAGCACCGGCUAACUUCGUG